UCAGCCACAGCUCCAAGUGACAUGCUAGUGCGGAGGAGGUGGCCCGGGUCGGCGUCGGCGCCGUCCGGCGCGGGCCAUGGGCCCGCUUCCAAGUGCGUCUGCGCGCCGGCCACCCACGUCGGGUCCUUCAAGUGCCGCUUCCACCGCACCAACUCCCAGGGCCACGGCCAGGGCCAGGGAAGCCGCCCUUCUUCGCCCCCUUCACCGGCCGUGGCCAACGUGGUGCCGCGGCACCCGGCGUCGCCGUCCUCGUCCUCCGGCACCGUCGCGACCCAGUGA
rnacentral:rRNA from 1 species